rnacentral:rRNA from 1 species
CGGGGGAGCAAGCGUUGUUCGGAUUUACUGGGCGUAAAGGGCGCGUAGGCGGCCAGCACAAGUCAGUUGUGAAAUCUCCGGGCUUAACUCGGAACGGUCAACUGAUACUGUGCGGCUAGAGUGCAGAAGGGGCAACUGGAAUUCUCGGUGUAGCGGUGAAAUGCGUAGAUAUCGAGAGGAACACCUGCGGCGAAGGCGGGUUGCUGGGCUGACACUGACGCUGAUGCGCGAAAGCCAGGGGAGCGAACGGGAUUAGAUACCCCGGUAGUCCUGGCCUUAAACGAUGGAUGCUUGGUGUCUGGAGUUUUAUAGUCUCCGGGUGCCGUAGCUAACGCGUUAAGCAUCCCGCCUGGGGAGUACGGUCGCAAGACUG